rnacentral:rRNA from 1 species
GUGCCAGCAGCCGCGGUAAUACGAAGGGGGCUAGCGUUGCUCGGAAUCACUGGGCGUAAAGCGCACGUAGGCGGGUCUUUAAGUCAGGGGUGAAAUCCCGGAGCUCAACUCCGGAACUGCCUUUGAUACUGGAGAUCUUGAGUCCGGGAGAGGUGAGUGGAACUCCGAGUGUAGAGGUGAAAUUCGUAGAUAUUCGGAAGAACACCAGUGGCGAAGGCGGCUCACUGGCCCGGUACUGACGCUGAGGUGCGAAAGCGUGGGGAGCAAACAGGAUUAGAUACCCCAGUAGUCC